UGCAAGUCGAGCGGACUUAAAAAGCUUGCUUUUUAAGUUAGCGGCGGACGGGUGAGUAACACGUGGGCAACCUGCCUGUAAGACUGGGAUAACUUCGGGAAACCGGAGCUAAUACCGGAUAAUCCUUUUCUACUCAUGUAGAAAAGCUGAAAGACGGUUUACGCUGUCACUUACAGAUGGGCCCGCGGCGCAUUAGCUAGUUGGUGAGGUAACGGCUCACCAAGGCGACGAUGCGUAGCCGACCUGAGAGGGUGAUCGGCCACACUGGGACUGAGACACGGCCCAGACUCCUACGGGAGGCAGCAGUAGGGAAUCUUCCGCAAUGGACGAAAGUCUGACGGAGCAACGCCGCGUGAGUGAUGAAGGUUUUCGGAUCGUAAAACUCUGUUGUUAGGGAAGAACAAGUACGAGAGUAACUGCUCGUACCUUGACGGUACCUAACCAGAAAGCCACGGCUAACUACGUGCCAGCAGCCGCGGUAAUACGUAGGUGGCAAGCGUUGUCCGGAAUUAUUGGGCGUAAAGCGCGCGCAGGCGGUCC
rnacentral:rRNA from 1 species